GAUGAACGCUGGCGGCGUGCCUAAUACAUGCAAGUCGAGCGAACGGACGAGAAGCUUGCUUCUCUGAUGUUAGCGGCGGACGGGUGAGUAACACGUGGAUAACCUACCUAUAAGACUGGGAUAACUUCGGGAAACCGGAGCUAAUACCGGAUAAUAUUUUGAACCGCAUGGUUCAAAAGUGAAAGGCGGUCUUGCUGUCACUUAUAGAUGGAUCCGCGCUGCAUUAGCUAGUUGGUAAGGUAACGGCUUACCAAGGCAACGAUGCAUAGCCGACCUGGGAGGGUGAUCGGCCACACUGGGACUGAGACGCGGUCCAGACUCCUACGGGAGGCAGCAGUAGGGAAUCUUCCGCAAUGGGCGAAAGCCUGACGGAGCAACGCCGCGUGAGUGAUGAAGGUCUUCGGAUCGUAAAACUCUGUUAUUAGGGAAGAACAUAUGUGUAAGUAACUGUGCACAUCUUGACGGUACCUAAUCAGAAAGCCACGGCUAACUACGUG
rnacentral:rRNA from 1 species